rnacentral:rRNA from 1 species
CUAGCUGAACCAAAGCAUUGUAGUAAGCUAAGGAAAGGACAUCAACAGACACGCGACUAGUAGCGGCGAGCGAACGUCGCAUAGCCUUGCAAACGCCUUAUCACGUCAGCUAAAUGCUUAUGAUUAGCAGUCAUAGCUGGUGACAACCCAGUAAGCUGACAAGCGUUUGCAGCUAGCUUUUAGCGAUGUUAAGCUUUUAUGCAAUUGCCAUCUAAUUGCAAUGAAUGCACCGUGUGAAGUUAGCAGCUAUGCAUUGCAGUAGUGCCAUGUAUAGCUAGCUACCCAUGGGGGUGCUUUUUGCAAAUUUUGCGUUGCAAAGGCUUACGUCAUUAGACAGCUAAGUAAAACGGCCGACAGCUGUUUGAACACAGGUGAACCAUCAUCUAAGGCUAAGUAUAGCGUGAUUAGCGAUAGCGUAUAGUACUGUGAAGGAACGGUGACAAGCGAGUCGAUGACUGCUGAAACAGAUCCUGAACUAACAGCCCCAUAAGCAGACAGUGUGCUUUACAUAGCAUGAUGUCGUACCUUUUGCAUAAUGGGUCCGCAAGUUUAUGCUGCUAGCACGGCGCAAGCCUUAGCUAACGCGACUUGCAAAUAAAACAAAUAGGGGGGUCUGCGUGUCGGAUACACCGCCUUCUAUUGCAGGGUUGACAGUUAGCAGCAUAAGACCUGAAACGCAGUGAUCUAGUCAUAUGCAGGUGUAAAGACUGAACGAUUGCAUGUUGCAUAAUGCUUCGAUGACGUGUGACUAGUAGUGAAAUGCUAAUCUAACUGCGUUAUAGCUGGUUUUCUGCGAAAUGCAUUGCAGUGCAGCGUCAUGUGUUAAAUUGCAGCAAGUACAACACUGGUUAGCAAGCAUAACUCCACGCGGUGUAUAAAUCGCGUGUUUUUACGUUUUGUAGAUUAGGGGGGUGUAGCCACCUUACCUAGGCUAGCUAGCUUCACAAAGGCUGCAAUUCCCCAUGGCAGUGAGUGGUAUGGCGAUAAGGUCGUAUCACAAGAAGACAACAGUCUUUACGUGGUGUUAAAGUCCCUAAUAUUAGCAUAAGUGAAAAUAAGAAGGUUGCUAACCUAAGACAGUCAUGAUGUGGGAUUGGUAGCGUCCAUCAUUUAUAGAAAGCGUAACAGCUCAGUGACCUAGGUUAAAGGAUUGCACUGUAAACAGUUAGCGUGCUAGCCCCUAAGGGGAGGGGUGGUGGGUAUGCACUGCGCGGACCUAUACACUACCGAAGUGUGCUAACGUCUAAUCACACGGCGUAUAAAAACGUGUUUGUGAUUAGCCUUGGGUCCUCAUUAAGUAGGCACCUGGGUGUUUACACGCCGUCCUAGGUGAGCAGCGUCGACAAUUUAACGGGUCUAAUGCUAAAACUAACACACACGUGCUUGCAAAUGCACCGUGUACAGUUAGGCUGUGUAGCCUUGCCUUAAUUCACACGUAGCCCCCAACAAGUUGGGGGAACGAGGUGAUAGCGGGGGUGGAGGCAGCAGUACUAUUGUAUUACGUUGUAAAAAUUUGCAAGACAGGUAGCAGAACAUGCUGCAGCGUUGAACAGCAGUCCUUAAUUGCACGAGCUUGCAGCAGCGCUAAUGCUGACAUGAGUAGCACCAUGGGUGUGUAAACACCCACGCUGUAACAAAAUGGGUUUUAAGCAGCUGUUACACAGGCUUAAGUCAUAGCGAUGUCUAAGCAGCUAGUCAACACAAAGCUGCGAUGACUAUGUAGUAAAACGGUACAAUCCCAAGAAAAGCUACUACUGCUGAUGUCCAUCUAAUGGCGUCAGCCUAUCGUACCCACUACCGACACAGGUUUUGUAGUGAAGCACACUAAAGCGACAGACUAACCACGGUUAAGGAACUCGGCAAAAUGACCUCGUACGUUCGUCAAGAAGAGGUGUCAUACACCGUGUAGAGUUAGCGUGUUUAAGCGGGGCCAUGGGUAGGAUGACUUCCCCCAUGGGUAUCGUACGUCUAAUCACACGGUGUAAGAUCGCAGAUAAUCGCGAAAUGCAACUGUUUACUCAAAACACAGCAGCCUGCAAACACUAACAGUGGUCGUAUAGGUUGUGAUUCCUGUCCGGUGUUGCGCUAUAACGUUAGCUGAGGCUUUGCGCUGCAAAAACUAGCUAAUUAUAAACCGUAAUAAACGACAGCCUUAACUAUAAGGGUUCUAAGGUGCAUGCUGCCUAACCGUUUUCCCCAUGCAAGUUAGCAACAGGGUAGUGGGUAUGCAAAUAAAACUGUACCCACUACCUUAGCAGCAACUGUCUGUAAUAACAGCAGCCUUUAGCAUUGAACACGUGUUUGCAUUAACUUGCAAUUAACUGUAAUUUGCUAACCGUAUUCUGUUAUGAUGUACAGAUUGCAUAGAUUGCAUGCUAACGUCAUCAAGACUGAUGCUAGCAUGGGGAAUAGCGCGUAGUUUUACAGUAUGCAUAGACUGUGAUACGUUGCAGCCUGCUAAGGCCACAUAGCAACAACUGAGGUCAUGACAUAACAUUAGACGGUGCAAUCACGUAGCAAUUUUUUAUUGCUAGUAAUGAUGCAACAUCGCUUGUUGCUAACUGUACAAGGCGUAUAAAACGCAUGUUUAGCUAGCAAUAGCAAUUUGCAACAUGUUUGCAUCGCUAGUCUUCCUGUCAGCCUUAUUCACAGGAUGUGCAGACUUACGUCACAGUGACUGUACGUAAGCAAACCAGCUUAAUUACGCAUAGCAUUGCAAUUGCAAACAACGGCUUGCAAAGGCUUGUCUAGUGUUAUCAUGCAUCGUAUUAGCUAGCACUGACGUCAUAUGAUGUCAUAAGCUUGCAUUAGCUUGUGUAGUGUUAUGAUGCAUCGUAUUUGCUAACAGCCACCUUAUUUGCAAUACUGCUAAUUAAAGGCUCGCGUAGUGUUAUGCUGCAUCGUAUUAGCUAGCAGUGACGUCAUAUGAUGUCGUAAGCAUGCAUUAGCUUGCAUUAGCUUGCGUAGUGUUAUGAUGCUUCGUAGUAGCAAUUUGCAACACAAACAGCAAUUUGCUUAUUAAAGGCUUGCGUAGUGUUAUGACAAUUAGCGUUUGCUAACUGUUAUAACGAUGCUAUUGUCAUUUAAAAGGCUUACGUAGUGUUAUGAUGCAUCGCAUAAGCUUGCUAUGUCGUCAUGACAUCGUUAGCUUGUAAAAGGCUUGCGUAGUGUUAUGUUGCUUAGCAUUUGCUAGCUGUUAUAACAUAUGCAAUAAGCUUGUAAAAGGCUUGCGUAGUGUUAUGAUGCUUCGUAUUUAGCUAACAGCUAUAAAUUGCAAACUUGCUAAUGAAAGGCUCGUGUAGUGUUAUGAUGCGUAGUAUUUGCUAACAGUCACCAAAUUUGCAAAACUGCUAAUUAAAGGCUUGUGUAGUGUUAUGCUGCAUCGUAUUUGCUAAACAUGAUAAAAUUUGCAAUUAGCUUUUAAAAGGCUUGCGUAAUUAGAAGGUUUAAAACACAGUCCAUACCGGGUACCGAAGUGUAAGACGUCACUUCAGACGGUACGCAAAAUGAGCAAAAUGCCUUGGCCACCAAUUAUGGUCUUGCAUGAAUGGAACAGUGAUGUUUCGACUGUCUUAACCGUGGGUCUG